rnacentral:rRNA from 1 species
GCUUGCUGGGGGGAUUAGUGGCGAACGGGUGAGUAACACGUGAGUAACCUGCCCUUGACUCUGGGAUAAGCCUGGGAAACUGGGUCUAAUACCGGAUAUGACUCCUCAUCGCAUGGUGGGGGGUGGAAAGCUUUUGUGGUUUUGGAUGGACUCGCGGCCUAUCAGCUUGUUGGUGGGGUAAUGGCCUACCAAGGCGACGACGGGUAGCCGGCCUGAGAGGGUGACCGGCCACACUGGGACUGAGACACGGCCCAGACUCCUACGGGAGGCAGCAGUGGGGAAUAUUGCACAAUGGGCGGAAGCCUGAUGCAGCGACGCCGCGUGAGGGAUGACGGCCUUCGGGUUGUAAACCUCUUUCAGUAGGGAAGAAGCCGCAAGGUGACGGUACCUGCACAAGAAGCGCCGGCUAACUACGUGCCAGCAGCCGCGGUAAUACGUAGGGCGCAAGCGUUAUCCGGAAUUAUUGGGCGUAAAGAGCUCGUA